rnacentral:rRNA from 1 species
CCUACGGGUGACAGCAGUGGGGAAUAUUGCGCAAUGGGCGAAAGCCUGACGCAGCGACGCCGCGUGAGGGAUGAAGGUCUUCGGAUCGUAAACCUCUGUCAGCAGGGAAGAACGGUCACUGUGCUAAUCAUCAUUGAAUUGACGGUACCUGCAAAGGCAGCACCGGCUAACUCCGUGCCAGCAGCCGCGGUAAUACGGAGGGUCCGAGCGUUAAUCGGAAUUACUGGGCGUAAAGCGCGCGUAGGCGGUAUGUCAAGUCAAGUGUGAAAUCCCCGCGCUCAACGUGGGAACUGCCUUUGAAACUGGCAGACUGGAGUGUGUGAGAGGAUAGUGGAAUUCCAGGUGUAGGAGUGAAAUCCGUAGAUAUCUGGAGGAACAUCAAUGGCGAAGGCGACUAACUGGAACAUAACUGACGCUGAGGAGCGAAAGCGUGGGUAGCAAACAGGAUUAGAUACCCGGGUAGUC